CAGGGAUUACCUCAGUAACGGCGAGUGAAGCGGUAACAGCUCAAAUUUGAAAGCUAGCUCUAUUAGGGUUCGCAUUGUAAUUUGUAGAAGAUGCUUCGGGUGUGGCCCCGGUCUAAGUUCCUUGGAACAGGACGUCAUAGAGGGUGAGAAUCCCGUAUGUGACUGGGUGCUUUCGCUCAUGUGAAGCUCUUUCGACGAGUCGAGUUGUUUGGGAAUGCAGCUCAAAAUGGGUGGUAAAUUUCAUCUAAAGCUAAAUAUUGGCCAGAGACCGAUAGCGCACAAGUAGAGUGAUCGAAAGAUGAAAAGCACUUUGGAAAGAGAGUUAAACAGUACGUGAAAUUGUUGAAAGGGAAGCGCUUGCAACCAGACUUGCGCGCUGAUGAUCAUCCGGGCUUCUGCCUGGUGCACUCGUCUGCGCUCAGGCCAGCAUCGGUUUCGGUGGUGGGAUAAAGGCCUUGGGAAUGUGGCUCCUCUCGGGGAGUGUUAUAGCCCUCGGUGCAAUGCCGCCUACCGGGACCGAGG
rnacentral:rRNA from 1 species